GAUGAACGCUGGCGGCGUGCCUAAUACAUGCAAGUCGAGCGAACGGACGAGAAGCUUGCUUUUCUGAUGUUAGCGGCGGACGGGUGAGUAACACGUGGAUAACCUACCUAUAAGACUGGGAUAACUUCGGGAAACCGGAGCUAAUACCGGAUAAUAUUUUGAACCGCAUGGUUCAAAAGUGAAAGACGGUUUUGCUGUCACUUAUAGAUGGAUCCGCGCUGCAUUAGCUAGUUGGUAAGGUAACGGCUCACCAAGGCAACGAUGCAUAGCCGACCUGAGAGGGUGAUCGGCCACACUGGAACUGAGACACGGUCCAGACUCCUACGGGAGGCAGCAGUAGGGAAUCUUCCGCAAUGGGCGAAAGCCUGACGGAGCAACGCCGCGUGAGUGAUGAAGGUCUUCGGAUCGUAAAACUCUGUUAUUAGGGAAGAACAUAUGUGUAAGUAACUGUGCACAUCUUGACGGUACCUAAUCAGAAAGCCACGGCUAACUACGUG
rnacentral:rRNA from 1 species